rnacentral:lncRNA from 1 species
CGUCGAGUUAUUUAUCAUCAACAAUUUCAAUUCAAUUUCAUUUGUUACAUCCGAUCAUCUUCUCUGAUACGAAGCGUAUAAAAAUAAAACAACAAAAAACUCUUAAAACAAAGGAUGGUUGGGAUGAAGAGAUACAAUAUCCAAUGGCUCAGCAAGGGUGAGUGUUUUUGAGCUUACCAUAUGCUGAGCUUACUUGAAAAAUAAUUUUAUUUAGAUAGAUAAAAGUAUAUAUUAAAAAAUACCGAAAAUCUGAAAUUAUAUAAACUGUAGAAGUUUUAUAUAAGUAUGAAGUAUCCUUAUAUUAUUUGUAAAAUAAAAAUAAUAAUAUAAACUUUCCUAAAUUGAGGAUGUGAAUUUAUAUAGAUCCAUCUGGCACCGAUACUCUGGUGGGAGGCUUCGUGGGACUAAAUUUGUAAUUAAAUAUGUGUAUUUAUUUUGAAAAAAAAUUAAACACUUAAUAAAAACGUUCAUUCUUCUUCAAUUUCAUUUUACCGUGAAGUUGCAGUAUCUUCAUCAUCUUCUUCAUCAGAAGAUUUUGAAUCAAUUACAGCUUUUCGUGAUUUUGUCGUUGAGUCCAAAGAUAAUACUGGUUUGUCCUUCCUUAAAGGAUUUUCCAUCCCAUCUUUUCUUUUCGACGACGAAGAAAAUCUGGUUUCCAUUGAUGAUUCCAUAGAUGACGACGUUGUAAAUGUUGAAGAGUACUCGGAACUCACUCUUUCCUCAUCUGUUGAAGAAAACCUGGUUGCAAUUGAAGAUUCGGUAGAUGACGACGUUAUAAACGUUGAAGAUUCCUCGAAUUUCCCUUCUUCCUCAUCUGUUGAAGAAAACCUGGUUGCAAUUCAAGAUUCGGUAGAUGACGACUUUAUAAACGUUGAAGAGUCCUCGAAUCUCACUUUUUCCUCAUCUGUUGAAGAAAACUGGUUACAAUUGAAGAUUCGGUAGAUGACGAUAAAGACAUUGUAAGGAAUAAUUUAAAGUUGGGUCGAGAGAUAAUAUAUAUAUUGUAAGAUAUGAGAAAUAGAAAAGAUAGAUAUUUAUUUAUUAGCUAUUUUUUGUGUGGCUAAAACAAAGGUGAAAAUGAGGUGGGUCACGGGCGGGUGGGUAAAUUUAAAAUGGGUAAACUUUUUUACUUUAAUUCUUAAAAAUUUUAAUUUUAAUAAUCCUAUAUCUAAUAUAAUAUAAUUUAAAAUAAUAAAAUUUAAUUUUUUCAAACCGGGGCGACCCUCCCGGGUUUCGCACUGCCCCGAGACCCGCCCCUGAAUAUGAUCGGGGCAACGGGGGAAGAAAGGAAAACCAGGGCAGAUAUUCUAGCCCGCCCCCGGUUACCACCGGAGCGCGGAACGGAAUGGGACGGGACCGAGGCGACUCCUACGCUAAACCAAUACAUAAAAUAGAUCCGUAGAAAUAACGAUGAAAAAUUAACGAUAAAAUAAAUAAUAUCUCAGUAAAUAUCUCAUGGAUGCAUUUAUAAAUAACUACUAUAUAUAAAUUUAAUUUGAUUAAUCUAUUUGUAAAAAAAAUAAGUUUAGGAUAAAAAUAGAAAAUGAUAUCAAACUUCAUAAACAGAUUUCAAUAUCAUAAAUAUUAACGUCAACAUUGACUGGAAACAUGUGAAAUUUUGGUUUUUAUAUAUGGCCGCCAUAUGGGGAGCGGAUCACAUGUUUUUAUCG